AGGUGAGCUGGGAAAGCCUUCUUCCUCCGCGCAGCCGCCACAGUGAUUGUCGUCAAGUCUGCCACAGGAGGAUAUUUUUGAGGUUAACCUGCUUUCUCCCUCGCAGGUCGAUUACUACUAUUUGUAUAAACUUGUUAAAUCUUAGAAUUUUCGCAUGUGUUAGAAAUGUUUAUUUGAUUUGGGUCUGUAAACUAAAUUAUUAUUUUGGACCUGUAAACUUAAUAUUCUAUGCAUGUUUGAUGGAUUGGAUGAGGGAGCUGAGCUCCCAUUUAUUUUUA